CCUACGGGAGGCAGCAGUGGGGAAUAUUGCACAAUGGGGGAAACCCUGAUGCAGCGACGCCGCGUGAGUGAAGAAGUAUCUCGGUAUGUAAAGCUCUAUCAGCAGGGAAGAAAAUGACGGUACCUGACUAAGAAGCCCCGGCUAACUACGUGCCAGCAGCCGCGGUAAUACGUAGGGGGCAAGCGUUAUCCGGAUUUACUGGGUGGAAAGGGAGCGUAGACGGCGCUGCAAGUCCGGAGUGAAAGCCCAUGGGUUAACCAGGGUACGUCUCUGGAAACUGUGGAGCUUGAGUGCGGGAGGGGCAGGCGGAAUUCCUAGUGUAGCGGUGACAUGCGUAGAUAUUAGGAGGAACACCGGCGGCGAAGGCGGCCUGCUGGACCGUAACUGACGUUGAGGCUCGAAAGCGCGGGGAGCAAACAGGAUUAGAUACCCCGGUAGUC
rnacentral:rRNA from 1 species